ensembl:lncRNA
CCUCCAUCACAUAGAACCACAUCAGAUAGAACCUCCAUCCACAGAAGCCUGUGGCACUUUAGCAAAGGGUAACGUUGGUUUAUGAUGACAGUAAUACGAUUAAUAGUUAAAAUAAUAAUCGUGGUGGGGAGGAUGGCAGCAGCAGGUGUCAGCAGGGCCACGGCACUUCAUCAAUGAGUAAGACCUUGGUCAUGGGGUUUGGAAGUAGAACCAGCCAACACAGUUGGAGCUGCUUCCAACGCCCCAGUGCAUUCUGGGAGUGUGACUAUAUAAGCUCAUUGCAGCUGCAACCAACCGGACUGUCCGUUGAUGGACUUUAUGACCCAUUCAAUACCAUGCAAGCGUAAGGACAAAGGGGGACGUCAUGGAGGGCUCCUGAUGCUAUUACAAUUGGCAACAAUCUGUGGUAGUUUUACAGUAAGCAGGUGUUUUGGUACAUGCGGCGUCACUGAGGAGGGUUUUUGUUCGUAUUAUAUAAAACAGGAAUGUUGUUUGUGUUGUGUCUCUGGCUGGCGUACCUGCAGGUGGGCGGGGCAGAGGCUCGCCAGGGGAGUGGGCACACCUGAGGUAAUCCGAUCUGCACGCCGAUAAAAGGGCCGCUGGUUCCAGGUGCGCUCUCUCUCUCGCCCUCUCUCUCUCUCUCCCCCCUCUCUCUCUCUCUCUCUCUUUCUCUCCCCCUCUCUCUCUCCCCCUUUCUCUCUCUCUCUCGCCCGCCCGGUUUGCAUCAUGGCCGUGCGGCCCGGGCGGUGACCCUGUUAAUAACAAUGUAGCAAAGACGAUCUCUCAUGAGUGUGAAGUCAGUGUUUGCUUCUCUCACGGACUCCAGCGUUUUGUCUCCAGGGUGAAGGUCCUGUGUUUGUGUGACCCCCCCUUCACAGAACUUCCCCCCUGGAUGCACCGAUACCAUGAAUCCAACACCAAUCAAUAAAUACAGUUAUCAAUUUACUUACCUGUUAUUUAUAGUUCUGAUGAGAAAGUGUGUGUAUGUGUGUGUGAUUCCCAAACUGAAACAACAUAUGAGGGUGUGAAGAAUCCACCUGUCUGACCUCAUAACCACGCAGGUUUGCGUCAUUCAGACGUUCCACACGCGUGUGACGUGAUUGGACAGGAAUUUGAUCCUCCACAUAUCUGAUCCAAGAAAAGCAGGACUUUAUUAAACCAAACAAAUGAGGCCAGUCGGCCCGAACAGAUCAGACCGGAUUGUUACAAACAAAAGGGUUUCAUGGCCAACAUGAUCCUCCUCGGGCCGUAUGAGUACCUGGCGCUCCAGAGGGUCCUGGAGACCCUCAGUCUGUCCUGGGAGGCUCAACAGGACACAGCUGGACGCUGCAUGUUCUCAACAGUACUUAAAGUUCUUAAUCUUCAAUGUUCUUCUCAGGAACGUUUAGACUUUCAUCUUGUUUCAAACCAUUUUGCACAGAAAUCAAAUAUUGAGCUUCUCCAAAGCUUUCAGGAAUAUUGCGGCAGCGUGUUUCACAUGAAAUGAAAGAGGGAAUUAUGGAUCCAUAAAAGCACCGGCUGCCCCGUAAAAUAAAUAUCUCUGAUUGAUGUGGCCAAGAAAUUGGAAAAUCUCCAGCAGUUUCUCCAACACGCUCUGUACAAAUGGAACAUUUCACAGAACAUUCUAUGAUGUUUGGCCACAAGAAAGCCAUCUGGAGGGGGGGGGCUGUGGGGGGUUACAGUGCUGGUAAAAAUAGACCCAACCAGCACUUGCCAGGAGCAAUUUGUACCAGAUGGGACUUGAAAUAGUGUCGGAGCUCUGCUGAGCCUGUUAAAGCGUCCCGUUGUUCCCUUGGAGGACUGUUAGCUCCUCGUUAGCGUAGCAUAAAGCCCACGUGUCACUAGCAGAUAACCUGUGAAGGACGGAUGGACGGGGGACAUUAGUCAGCUGGGGGGACGUGGACCUCGGAAAAGGGGCGGAGUCUGCUGGAGGUCUUCUUACAGAAUGGAAACAACAAAAUGUCCCGUUUUCUUCCCUGAGAUGUUUCCAUGUUGUAUUUGUUUA